rnacentral:lncRNA from 1 species
CCUCUCCUUGCAACAUCCCAGUUGAGGAGAGAAUGAGCCACAUCUUUCCUGAAACAUCCAGUGGAGCUCGCUGGAGAACCUGCAAGAGCCGGCAAACCCAGGAGCUUCGCCGUCCAUUCCUGGAAGCAGACUUUGUGUCUUCGUCCACCAAGGCCCUGGCUCUCAACACUCACUGUGGUGGCAAGAACAUGGCACCUUGACCAUACACAGUCCUUCUAUUUUUCAGAAGCAGGGAAGCGCUCCUCUCCCGUCUGAGGGCUGUCGUUCCAGCCGAGAGAUCAGCACAAUGGACUCUGGGAUGGACAUUGUUCUCCAACAGGCCUGGCCCUGGCCCAGCUGGGGCUCAUCAUCUCUCUACUACCUCCUUCCACGCUGGACAAAUGGAAGGGCAUGUGACAUGGUGUGGCAG